rnacentral:lncRNA from 13 species
GUACAUUUGACUCAGUGGGCUGGGACAGGCAGACCCACCCUUAGUUAGGUGGGCACCAUCUAAUCAGCUGCUAGCAAAUAUAAAGCAGGCAGAAAAAUGUCAAAAGUAGAGACUUGCCUAGUCUCCCAGUCUACAUCCUUCUCCCCUGCUGGGUACUUCUUGCUCUGGAACAUCAGACUUUGAGUUCUUCAGUUUUGAGACUUGGACUGGCUCUCCUUGCUCCUAAGCUUGCAGACAUCCUAUCAUGGGAGCUUGUCAUAUGGGUGAGAGGUGGCCUUUUUUACUAAUCUCCAAGAGCGCUUGUGAAUUAAUUCAACCUGGUAAAACCUUUCACUUGAAAGAACCAAGGUUGUUAAGUUACGG